rnacentral:rRNA from 1 species
AUUGAACGCUGGCGGCAGGCCUAACACAUGCAAGUCGAACGAGGGGCGGGGGGGUGAGUCAUGUAUGGGACACUGCCUGAUGGAGGGGGAUAACUACAGGAAAGGGUAGCUAAUACGGCAUACCAUCGGAUGUGCCCAGAUGGGAUUAGCAAGUAGGUGGGGUAAAGGCGAACCUAGGCGACGAUCCCUAGCUGGUCGGAGAGGAUGACCAGCAACACUGGAAUGGAUACACGGGCCAGACUCCUACGUGUGGCAGCAUUGGGGAAUAUUGUACAAUGGGCGCAAGCCUGCUGCAGCCAUGCCGCGUGUAUGAAGAAGUCCUUCGGUUUGUAAAGUACUUUCAGCGGGUAGGCGUUACCCGCACAAGAAGCACCGGCUAACUCCGUGCCAGCAGCCGCGGUAAUAC